AGGGUUUGAUCAUGGCUCAGGAUGAACGCUGGCGGCGUGCUUAACACAUGCAAGUCGAACGAUGAAGCCCAGCUUGCUGGGCGGAUUAGUGGCGAACGGGUGAGUAACACGUGAGUAACCUGCCCUUGACUCUGGGAUAAGCCCGGGAAACUGGGUCUAAUACCGGAUAGGAGCGCCUGUCGCAUGACGGGUGCUGGAAAGAUUUUUCGGUCAUGGAUGGACUCGCGGCCUAUCAGCUUGUUGGUGAGGUAAUGGCUCACCAAGGCGACGACGGGUAGCCGGCCUGAGAGGGUGACCGGCCACACUGGGACUGAGACACGGCCCAGACUCCUACGGGAGGCAGCAGUGGGGAAUCUUAGACAAUGGGCGAAAGCCUGAUCUAGCGAUGCCGCGUGAGUGAUGAAGGUCUUAGGAUCGUAAAGCUCUUUCGCCAGGGAUGAUAAUGACAGUACCUGGUAAAGAAACCCCGGCUAACUCCGUGCCAGCCGCCGCGGUAAUAC
rnacentral:rRNA from 1 species